CCCGCACGGCGCCCCUUUAUCGGGAGCCGCCCCCGCCGGCCACAGCCAGCGCCGGCCUCCUCCCCGCCUCCCUUCCCUUCCCUUCCCCUCCAGCCCCGUCCCCUCCCUUCCCCGGCCGCCCCGCUCCGUUCGGCCGUGCUCCCCCCGCGGCGGGAGGUGCUCCCCGCCCGGCCCCGCGGCGGCCAAGGCUGCGGCGAUAAGCGCGGGGUCGGUGGGGAAGAGGCCGAGCGUGCGGCCGGGGGUGAAGGUCGGUGUCUGGGAGCGGAGCGCUUUGUUUCCCCUCCUCGCCGCGCCCCCAGGGCAGACGGGGCCGGCCGGCCUUUCCCCGCUGCGGAGAGCGCUGCCCACCGCACGUCCCGGGCAGCGGGACCGCGUCCAGGGCUUGGCUUCGGUGUGCAGGGACCGAACACUGCUCAGAGAACAAAAAGCAGCGCCCGUUUUCUUGGAGAGCCUCGUGGCUACGAGACACCGGCGAUUCCUUUCCCCUCUGGAGCUCCCCGAGGGUUUCCAGCCCAGCUGCAGCCACCCCUGGCCCCUGUGACAGGUCACGUCCUUUCCCGGCCAGGUUCCUGCAGGAAUGCUGCUCUUGGACGUGCCUCCUGCUUCCCCACCUGGGAAUGAGAGCCCAAUUCUCACAUGUACCCACUCUGGCCAACGCUUCAGACCUCCAAAAUUCCAGGUGGUGGGUACCCACAAGUGCUAAAAACACCAGGGACUGCAUCAUUUCUGGUCAUCACAUCACUCAGGUUAAGUCAUGGAGUUUUUGUGCAUUUGUACACCUGCACAGUCUCCAUCAGUGGAGAUUUUAUGUCCUGCCCUGAGACAGCCAUGAAAUUCCUGCUUGGUGUCAGCUUGGGAAGGAGAUCACUUGCAAAACAUAAAAUGUCCUUUACAAGCUGUGAAGUAUUGAGGAGACUUAGUGCAGAAGUAGAACUGGGGGAUGGAAGGACUGAGCGUUGUCCUGCAGAGAAAGACUUGGGGAUACUGAUGGGUGAAAAAUUGGACAUGAGCCAGCAAUGUGAUCUUGCAGCCCACAUUUUCUGUCUCUACUCUGCACUGGUGAGACCUCAGCUGAAGGUAUCUGUCCUACUAUGGGUUUCUGGGACAAAAAAGGUGUGGACCUGUUGGAGGAGUUCAGAGGAGGACCAUGAACAUAGUGGGCUGAGAGACCUUAUUGCAGCUGUUUAAAGGGACUUCUAUGAAAUACAAAGGUUACAACAGAUGAAGUGACAGGACAAGGGGCAACAGUUUUAAACUGAAAGAGGGCAGGGUUAGAUUAGAUAUUAAGAAGAAAUUCUUCCUUGUGAGGAUGGUGAGGUUGCCCAGAGAAGCUGUGGCUGCCCCUGCUUUCGAAGUACUCCAGUCCAGGUUGGACCAGCUUGGUCUGGUGGAAGGUGUCCCAGCCUAUGGUAGAAGGUUGAAAUGAGAUGGUCAUUCAGGUCCAUUCCAACCUAAACCAUUCUGUGUUUCUAUAAAAUGAGUAAAUUUGCACAGAUUUAUGGGUGAAGCGUUUCCUCUUGGAAUGUUCACCAGGUGGGCCUCACAUGACUUGCUGUCAGCCCUGCUAAUAAUACUGUGACAGCAUGGGUGUGAGUAUUUUCCACAGUGCUGUGAUGCAAUUUCUUUGAUCUGCAUUAGAGUGAAUAAAGCUCCAGAGCAAUUAUCUGAGAUUAUUUCA
ensembl:lncRNA